CACGCCGUAAACGAUGGAUACUAGGUGUAGGAGGUAUCGACCCCUUCUGUGCCGGAGUUAACACAAUAAGUAUCCCACCUGGGGAGUACGGCCGCAAGGCUGAAACUCAAAGGAAUUGACGGGGGCCCGCACAAGCAGUGGAGUAUGUGGUUUAAUUCGAAGCAACGCGAAGAACCUUACCAGGGCUUGACAUACAGACGGAUGGUGUGGAAACACAUCAGACCUUCGGGACGUCUGUACAGGUGG
rnacentral:rRNA from 1 species